rnacentral:rRNA from 1 species
GACAGAGGGUGCAAACGUUGUUCGGAAUUACUGGGCGUAAAGCGCGUGUAGGCGGCAACACAAGUCGGAUGUGAAAUCCCGCGGCUUAACCGUGGAAGUGCACCCGAAACUGUAUCGCUAGAGUCCCGGAGAGGAUGGUGGAAUACUUGGUGUAGAGGUGAAAUUCGUAGAUAUCAAGUGGAACACCGGUGGCGAAGGCGGCCAUCUGGACGGUGACUGACGCUGAGACGCGAAAGCGUGGGUAGCAAACGGG